AUACGGAGGAUCCGAGCGUUAUCCGGAUUUAUUGGGUUUAAAGGGUGCGCAGGCGGCCAUUUAAGUCAGCGGUUAAAUCGUGGGGCUCAACCCCAUUCUGCCGUUGAUACUGGGUGGCUUGAUUGCGGUCGAGGUUGGCGGAAUUCGUUGUGUAGCGGUGAAAUGCAUAGAUAUGACGAAGAACACCGAUUGCGUAGGCAGCUGACCAGAUCGCAAAUGACGCUCAUGCACGAAAGUGCGGGGAUCGAACAGGAUUAGAUACCCUGGUAGUCCGCACAGUAAACGAUGAAUACUUGUUUUCGGCGAUAUAAUGUCGGAGGCAAAGCGAAAGCGAUAAGUAUUCCACCUGGGGAGUACGCCGGCAACAGUGAAACUCAAAGGAAUUGACGGGG
rnacentral:rRNA from 1 species